GGUGGAGAUUGCCUCAGCAUUUCCUGGCAAAGGCAUCCAUAUUGAAUGCGGGUGCAUUCCGUUCUGUUGGUUACCAAGACAAACACAGUACUGAAGAAUCCCUCAAAGCAUCCCUGGUUUGGAUGAAAGCCCGGGAACAGAAGAGCUCAUCCUCAAGAGCACUAUCAGAUCUCAGCCUCUAUGGUAUUUAAAAGGGCUUGGAAAAUUUGUUUGAGAAAAUACCAAGGAUGUGAAAACAACAAAGUGAAAAAUAAAAUCUUUAUCUAGCACAAGCACAUUGAGGGUAAUUUAAUUUAAAAAAAAAAAUAAAAAAAUCUUUCUUCUGUCAUGUUUUAAUUAGUCCCUUCUGCUUCAAGAAAAUAUAAAUACCACUGUAUGUUAUCACAAAGGAGAGAAUAUUGGCAGUGUUAGGACUCAGCUGUAAGAUCCAUGAAAGCAAGAAAAGUUUAGCUAAGAUAAAGCAGCUUUGUACUUUGGAGAUGUUGAUUUCAGAAUGCAUUAGGUGUUGGGAGGGUUCAUCAGCCUAUUUAAUGUAUAAUCUGCUAGGCUUGUAGUAUUAGUGAAUAGAAUAACCUGGGCAAAAUACUGCUUGAGAAUAGGCUGUACCUUCAAGGGGA